rnacentral:tRNA from 1 species
GCGCCCUUAGCUCAGUUGGAUAGAGCACCGACCUUCUAAGUCGUGGGCCGCAGGUUCGAAUCCUGCAGGGCGCGCCA